rnacentral:rRNA from 1 species
CGUUGGCCUCAGAUCAGGGAGGAUCACCCGCCGAAU